UUAGUUAUGUUAAGUUAUUGAAUUAUUAGAGUAGUUGUUAUUAGUUGUUCUGUUGUUGGUGGUGGAGGUGUAGUGUUGUUGCUGUUAUGACUGUUGGUAUGAUUGAUGUUGUUGUAUUGAAUUAUUGUUAUAAUGGUUGGUGGUAGUGAUGCAAUGUAGAACAAUAAAGUGUUGUAAUUCGUAGAAAUCACAGGUCAGUUUCGUAAUUCAUGUUUUUCAACAGUUUUCGGGCGUUUUUCGCAAAAAUACUAUUUCACAAAAGUUGUUCAUAUUGAAAUUCUACUCAAGUUAGGCUCAAGAAACGCUUGAUUCGGAGUUCGAAGGAGGAAGUUAUGUUCAUAUUAAGUUUCUGCUCAAAUUUCAUAUUUUAUAUAGUUGAUUUAAAAACUCUACGUCUUCAUAUACUUGUUUCAUAAUGAACUUUUGAGUUACCAUAUGUACAUAUGAUUCUGUAAUGUUGAAUUUAUAUAAAGUAAGAUGAUUUCAAUUAAUUUGGUAAGGGUUUGAGUUAGACGGUUUUAGUUAGACGUUAGAACAUGAAAGUCAUUAUAUGAUAAAAGAACAUGAUAUGUUUGUUGGAUGUUUUAUAUGAAUUUAGGAAAGGUUGAUUGCUUUGUGAACUAAGUUAGUUGUAUCCAAGUCUUUUAUUACUUACGAAGUACACAUAUUUAUAUUGUAGCUUUCGGUUUCACUGAAGAGUCGUUUAGACCGAGAUAGUUGUUUAACUAUGAUUCGAAAAGGUACAUGAAGGUAAUGUAUAAUGAAGAAGGUUCGAUGUUGGAAGUUUGUUGUAUGCUUUAUACUAGUUGUAUCGCGGCGAGGACGAUCAACUUUGUAAUAUUAUAGUUAAUAGUUAAUUUGUAAUUAAAUUAAAAAGGUUUGAGUUUGUAAAGUCUAGACUUGUUUGGGUUGCUGGAUUUUGAGGAUACAUGAUUAUGAAUCGGACGCGAGUCCUAAAUUAAGUUUUAGGCGGUCCAUAUUACAAAUGGAACUCUGCCGAAUUUUCUGUAGAAUUUUAAUAAUAUAUCUAGUUGUUUAAAA